rnacentral:sRNA from 1 species
UACAGCUUCUGGGUACUAAUUCUAUGGAUAUAUAAAAUAAUAAAUAGCGAAACUAAACAAAUUGAGAUUAUAAAGAAGUCUCACAAACUCGUAGGCUGCUCCAAGUGGGUCAGGGACAUACGUACUUCCCCAAAAAGUAUGCCCAACAUCUAAAUUUCAUUGAAGUAUCAAACGGCCAAAAAUUUUUCUUGUUUACAAAUGUUUGUCAUCUUAAUUAAGAAGCAAAACUGUCAGGGUUAAGUUGUAAGCCUUAGCUCGCUAGAGAAGAGUACUGUAAUAGAAAGAGAAGGUUACUGUAAUAUAAAGAGAAAGGAACUGUAAUAGAAAGAGAAGGAUACUGUAAUAUAAAGAGAAGGUCACUGUAAUAGAAAGAGAAGGGAACUGUAAUAGAAAGAGAAGGUUACUGUAAUAGAAAGAGAAGGUUACUGUAAUAGAAAGAGAAGGUUACUGUAAUAGAAAGAGAAGGUUACUGUAAUAAAAAGAGAAGGUUACUGUAAUAGAAAGAAAAGGUAACUGUAAUAGAAAGAAUAUUACUGUAAUAGAAAGAGAAGGUUACUGUAAUAGAAAGAGAAGGUUACUGUAAUGUAAAGAGAAGGUUACUGUAAUAUAGAGAAGGGAACUAUAAUAGAAAGUGAA